rnacentral:rRNA from 1 species
AGCGAACGCUGGCGGCAGGCCUAACACAUGCAAGUCGAACGGACCUUUCGGGGUUAGUGGCGGACGGGUGAGCAACACGUGGGAACGUGCCUUUAGGUUCGGAAUAGCUCCUGGAAACGGGUGGUAAUGCCGAAUGUGCCCUUAGGGGGAAAGAUUUAUCGCCUUUAGAGCGGCCCGCGUCUGAUUAGCUAGUUGGUGAGGUAAUGGCUCACCAAGGCUACGAUCAGUAGCUGGUCUGAGAGGAUGACCAGCCACAUUGGGACUGAGACACGGCCCAAACUCCUACGGGAGGCAGCAGUGGGGAAUCUUGCGCAAUGGGCGAAAGCCUGACGCAGCCAUGCCGCGUGGACGAUGAAGGUCUUAGGAUUGUAAAAUCCUUUCACCGGUGAAGAUAAUGACUGUAGCCGGAGAAGAAGCCCCGGCUAACUUCGUGCCAGCAGCCGCCGUAA